rnacentral:rRNA from 1 species
AGAGUUUGAUCCUGGCUCAGGAUGAACGCUAGCGGCAGGCCUAACACAUGCAAGUCGAGGGGCAGCACGAAUUAGUUUACUAAUUUGGUGGCGACCGGCGCACGGGUGCGUAACGCGUAUGCAACCUACCCUGUACUGAGGGAUAGCCCGGAGAAAUCUGGAUUAACACCUCAUAGUAUUAAGAUACCGCAUGGUAAUUUAAUUAAAGGUUACGGUACAGGAUGGGCAUGCGUCCUAUUAGUUAGUUGGAGAGGUAACGGCUCACCAAGGCUACGAUAGGUAGGGGUCCUGAGAGGGUUGUCCCCCACACUGGUACUGAGACACGGACCAGACUCCUACGGGAGGCAGCAGUGAGGAAUAUUGGUCAAUGGACGCAAGUCUGAACCAGCCAUGCCGCGUGCAGGAAGAAUGCCCUAUGGGUUGUAAACUGCUUUUAUUUAGGAAUAAACCUUUCUACGUGUAGAAAGCUGAAGGUACUAAAUGAAUAAGCACCGGCUAACUCCGUGCCAGCAGCCGCGGUAAUACGGAGGGUGCAAGCGUUAUCCGGAAUCAUUGGGUUUAAAGGGUCCGCAGGCGGAUUUAUAAGUCAGUGGUGAAAGCCUACAGCUUAACUGUAGAACUGCCAUUGAUACUGUAAGUCUUGAAUUCGGUCGAAGUGGGCGGAAUGUGUAAUGUAGCGGUGAAAUGCAUAGAUAUUACACAGAACACCGAUAGCGAAGGCAGCUCACUAGGCCUGGAUUGACGCUCAGGGACGAAAGCGUGGGGAUCAAACAGGAUUAGAUACCCUGGUAGUCCACGCUGUAAACGAUGAUUACUCGUUUUCGGCGAUAUACAGUCGGAGACUAAGCGAAAGUGAUAAGUAAUCCACCUGGGGAGUACGAUCGCAAGGUUGAAACUCAAGGAAUUGACGG